rnacentral:rRNA from 1 species
UACUAAAGUUGUUGCGGUUAAAAGCUCGUAGUUGAAAUUGUGUCCUGCGGUGUCGGUCUACCGAAUGCGGUACGACAGGCACGUCUGCGGGCUUCUCGCCGGUGCGUCCACCGCCGGCGUGUGUCGGUCGGCCUCACGGUCGGCCGCGCACCGAGGCGGGCCGUCGCGGCUGUUUACUUUGAACAAAUUAGAGUGCUCAAAGCGGGCUAACACUUGCCUGAAUAUUGUACGCAUGGAAUAAUAGAAUAGGACCUCGGUUCUGUUUUGUUGGCUUUCUGAUACCAGAGGUAAUGAUUAAUAGGGACAACUGGGGGCAUUCGUAUUGCGACGUUAGAGGUGAAAUUCUUGGAUCGUCGCAAGACGGACUAAAGCGAAAGCAUUUGCCAAAGGUGUUUUCAUUAAUCAAGAACGAAAGUUAGAGGUUCGAAGGCGAUUAGAUACCGCUGUAGUUCUAACCAUAAAUGAUGCCAGCCAGCGAUCCGCCGAAGUUUCAUAAUUUUAACUCGGUGGGCAGCUCCCGGGAAACCAAAGCUUUCGGGCUCCGGGGGAGUAUGGUU